UUGUGGUGGCUCAGUGGUUAAGGCUUUGCAUCACAGCUCCGAAGGUUGUGUGUUCAAAUCCCAGUACUGCCAA